rnacentral:lncRNA from 1 species
AGCCCUCCCUCUGCAAUCUCCAUUGCCAUUGCCGUUAGCAUAGAUCUUCAGGGCGCAUCUUUUCUCCUGGGUUUCUGUGUUUGUUUUACUCACUGCCUUCCUGUGCCUCUGCUUAGGACAUUUUCAUGAACAAGCAAGAAAAUGUUCAGCACAUAAGCUUCUCUACUACCUGAAAAAAUGAGCUUUAACUUUGAACAUCACACAGAUCCAGUGAGUGCUUGUUUCAAAUAUGUGUGCAUGUCUCCACGAGCCACUAAAUAUCAGCAUUAUUACCAACAUAAUAAUCAGCUUUGGAUUUGCUAUAUAGAAGCUGAAUUAUUUAGCGACAUGUUCCACCAGAAAUUAUAACUGUACUUUAGUCAAGCACAUUCUUUUCUCUGGAAAAUUCGUCUUUAUCAUCAGAGCUUGUAGUCACUAAUGUGUGACUGCACAUACAUGCCUUCUUAACCAUGGAAAUUAAUAUGUAC